GACGAACGCUGGCGGCGCGCCUAACACAUGCAAGUCGAACGGAGUCAAGAGGAGCUUGCUUUUCUUGACUUAGUGGCGAACGGGUGAGUAACGCGUGAGUAACCUGCCCUGGAGUGGGGGACAACAGUUGGAAACGACUGCUAAUACCGCAUAAGCCCACGGAUCUGCAUGGAUCUGCGGGAAAAGGAUUUAUUUGCUCUAGGAUGGACUCGCGUCCAAUUAGCUAGUUGGUGAGGUAACGGCCCACCAAGGCGACGAUUGGUAGCCGGACUGAGAGGUUGAACGGCCACAUUGGGACUGAGACACGGCCCAGACUCCUACGGGAGGCAGCAGUGGGGGAUAUUGCACAAUGGGGGAAACCCUGAUGCAGCGACGCCGCGUGGAGGAAGAAGGUUUUCGGAUUGUAAACUCCUGUCGUGAGGGACGAUAAUGACGGUACCUAACAAGAAAGCACCAGCUAACUACGUG
rnacentral:rRNA from 1 species